rfam:Gammaproteobacteria bacterium SG8_30 WOR_8-12_4631, whole genome shotgun sequence.
GAACUGAAGAGUUUGAUCCUGGCUCAGAUUGAACGCUGGCGGCGUGCCUAACACAUGCAAGUCGAGCGGCAGCGCGGGGGCAACCCUGGCGGCGAGCGGCGAACGGGUGCGUAAUACAUGGGAAUCUGCCCAGUAGUGGGGAAUAACCCGGGGAAACUCGGGCUAAUGCCGCAUACGACCUACGGGUGAAAGCGGGGGACCUUCGGGCCUCGCGCUAUUGGAUGAGCCCAUGUCGGAUUAGCUAGUUGGUAGGGUAACGGCCUGAAUUUUGGACAAUGGGCGAAAGCCUGAUCCAGCGACGCCGCGUGUGUGAAGAAGGCCUGCGGGUUGUAAAGCACUUUCGUUGGGAACGAAAUACGCCGACCUAAUACGUCGGCGGGCUGACGUUACCCAAACAAGAAGCACCGGCUAACUCUGUGCCAGCAGCCGCGGUAAUACAGAGGGUGCAAGCGUUAAUCGGAAUUACUGGGCGUAAAGCGCACGUAGGCGGCUACGUAAGUCGGAUGUGAAAUCCCCGGGCUCAACCUGGGAACUGCAUUCGAAACUGCGUGGCUAGAGUAAGGGAGAGGAAGGCGGAAUUCCCGGUGUAGCGGUGAAAUGCGUAGAUAUCGGGAGGAACAUCAGUGGCGAAGGCGGCCUUCUG